GACAUAUUGUUAUUAGAUUAAGGGAAAAUUUUAAAACUUAUUUUAGCUGGGGUGGCUGGAGUGGGUAUGUCGAUAAUGUCGAUUUGGGGAGCAUCCAAAUCCCACAGCCAACCCCACAAGCCCAGCAGAGGGGAAGCUUACGCUGACUCCUUCCCCCUUUCCUCCAGCGCUUUAUCCUAGGAGGGCCUGUAGGUCCCUGGUUUCUUCCCUUUCGCCCCUCGUGAUAUGUUCCAGGAGAAGCCUACAAGCAGUCCGACUUCUCAUCCCCUGUUAUCUGCCAGGAGAUAAUAGCCACUGGCAUCUCUGUGUCUUCCCAGAGGCCUCUCACCUUCUCUGAACAUCAUUACACAGAUCCAUAGAGUUCAGAGCCAAAGAUUCUUUCUCCAAGAAGCCCGCCCAGAGAAACGCCCCCAUUCUUGCUCGCCACCGCUCCGCAACGUGAGUAGAGGCUUCCUCAUCCUCUGUACGGAAUGGACACUCCUCCGACAUGGCGUACCCCACGGGGAAGCGCAACUUGGGCGCGGCCACAUUCCCCGCCUGACAACGCUGCCGAGGGGCAUUGAAUGCCCCAAAACAUUGACUCCGUAACAUCGCCAUGUUGACUGUUGGUUGACUGUGGCUUCGAACGUGGUUUUGCGCCUGUGCAGAGCCACGCCCCUUCGUGUGAACCUCCCACCCAAACCCCGAGAAGGGGCGGUGCUAGGGGUGGUGACCGGAAGCGGCUGCAGUUUUCUGCCGAGGUUUAAUAGUUGUUGUGAAGAGGAUCCCGUUGCUCUUUGCCGGAGCGGUGUGAAGGUUUUUUGGAAUCUCUGCUUAGCCCUUGGGACAGACCCUGUGGUGAAGGCUGCAGGAUCUUCCAUAUCAAGCAUCAGCAGCUGUGGUUAAGUCCACAGGUGCCCACCUGACCUCGGGUUCCUGGGAAGAGCAGAGUUGUCAGCAAGAGAACCUGUGGGUAAAGCCCAGCAGAAAGAUGCCAGGCAAUCGGAGUGCUGCUGGGCCGUCUCCGACCCUGAGUACAGGGGGAUGUGACAAUUCCUGUGAGGUGUCAGUGUCCUUUGAGGACAUGACCGUGGACUUCAGAAGAGAGGAGUGGCAGCACCUGGACUCUGCUCAGAGGUUCCUGUACCAGGACAUGACGCUGAAAACUACAGCCACCUCCUCUCACUGGAGGUCAUUCAAGGACGUCCCUGUGGACUUGAGCAGAGAGGAGUGGCCGCACGUGGACCCUGUACAGAGGUGCCUGUACCAGGAUGUGACACUGGAGACCUACAGCCAACUGUGCGCAGUGGGGAAAUGGAAUUACUUUCCUGAAGAGCAAAUAGAAGCGUGGUUGAAAGGCCCUGAAACCCAAUUAACUGGACCCAAUCCUGUAUCGUGUCCUGUUCACAGGGAACCAAGUUCCCAAACCAGAGGUCAUCUUCAAGCUGGAGCAAGAAGAGGGCCCCUGGACGUUGGAGGAGGAAACCCCACAUCAGAGCUGCUCAGAUGUGUGACCUGAGUAGAUGGGGGACGUGGAGUAGAUCUGUUU
rnacentral:lncRNA from 1 species